rnacentral:rRNA from 1 species
CACGUAGGGCGCAAGCGUUGUCCGGAAUUAUUUGGCGUAAAGAGCGUGUAGGCGGCCAGGUAGGUCUGCUGUGAAAACUCGAGGCUCAACCUCGAGACGUCGGCGGAAACCAUCUGGCUAGAGUCCGGAAGAGGAGAGUGGAAUUCCUGGUGUAGCGGUGAAAUGCGCAGAUACCAGGAAGAACACCCGUGGCGAAGGCGGCUCUCUGGGACGGUACUGACGCUGAGACGCGAAAGCGUGGGGAGCGAACAGG